rnacentral:tRNA from 1 species
GGGGAUAUAGCUCAGUGGGUAGAGUGCUUGCCUUGAAUGCACAAGAUCCUGGGUUCAUUCCUAGUACCACAA